UACGGGGGGGGGCAAGCGUUGUUCGGAAUUACUGGGCGUAAAGGGCUCGUAGGCGGCCAACUAAGUCAGACGUGAAAUCCCUCGGCUUAACCGGGGAACUGCGUCUGAUACUGGUUGGCUUGAAUCCGGGAGAGGGAUGUGGAAUUCCAGGUGUAGCGGUGAAAUGCGUAGAUAUCGAGAGGAACACCUGCGGCGAAGGCGGGUAGCUGGGCCGACACUGACGCUGAUGCGCGAAAGCCAGGGGAGCGAACGGG
rnacentral:rRNA from 1 species